UUAAUUGAAGAGUUUGAUCAUGGCUCAGAUUGAACGCUGGCGGCAGGCCUAACACAUGCAAGUCGGGCGGUAACAGGGAGAAGCUUGCUUCUCUGCUGACGAGCGGCGGACGGGUGAGUAAUGUAUGGGGAUCUGCCUGAUGGCGGGGGAUAACUACUGGAAACGGUAGCUAAUACCGCAUAAUGUCUUCGGACCAAAGCGGGGGACCUCCGGGCCUUGCGCCAUCAGAUGAACCCAUAUGGGAUUAGCUAGUAGGU
rnacentral:rRNA from 1 species